UGAUUUUCUUUUGUUUGCCUGGCCCUGAAUCUUUAAGAACUGUGAUAAAUUAAGGACUCCAGGAGAAAUGAUACAUAUCCAGUGUCUGAGAUGUAAUCAGAAGAAGAGUAUUUUGUUUUCUAAACAUAUUAAUUAAAAUAACCAAGUGUGUGUCUUCACAGGAAGAUAAUUCAGAGGACCUGUUAAAGGAAGUCUCUCUGCCUCCAUGUCUCUGUACUCAUUGUGCAUCUGUAAAUGGCUGCCAUCCAACAAAGCUCUUAAGUGCAUGCUCAGCUCCAGCACAGCUUGGCUACAGCAAUGUUGCUAGCUUUGGCAUGUUUGGGGCAUUCACAUGCUUGGUGAGAGGCACAUGCUUGUGUGCCCUUCUGAAUAACUAACUCUUCCUUGUGUCCUACAGGCCUGUGGCCAGGAGUGUGGGUCCCGUGUCCAGCUCCCGUAGAAAGUAAAGAUAGCAAUAGGGUUACACUUCAGCUACAGCUCCGGGGUUUUUAUCCUUAUCUUGGACAUCACUGGAAUGCAGAGCUGAGUCCAUCUCUGGCACUGGAAAACCUGUUUCCCUUUCUUCAUCAGCUUUCCCCACCUUCAAGUCUUUGUUUCAACAGUUCCAGAGCUUUGUACCAUAGCGGAAGACUCACAGGAGGCAGAUAUUCCUAAUGAGGGAAUGUUUUGCUGUUUUGCAAAUCCUAUAUGAGUUCUUUUGCUUUGGAGAGGUAAGUUCAAUCCUCAUUUUUACCCAGACCACAAUGAAGGCUCUGUACCUUGUUCUGUUGACUGGAUGCGAGAAGAGGACUAGUUCAUGGCUCUGGGAUGAACAGGAUGAGCAGAGUUUGAGAACAGCUUUUCUAUUCCCUGUUCCAGAUUGAAGGUGCUGUGACUCACUUUUCCUAAUGCAUCUGGA